AGAACACAAUCAAAAGAAUGACUCUCUUUUAUUACUUAGGAAAACUCGUUCAAAAACCUAAGCCUAUCUCUCAAUCUCUUUUACAAACUCUAAACGAUACAAGUCAUAUCACAACACAACAUGUCCUUAUAUAACAAAACCCUAUGACCUAAUCAUAUCUCAAUUAGGAUAACACAAAGAUCCUUUCUAGAUAACUCCUAAAGGAUUUACAAUAAUAUCUCAUUAAACCAAUGACUUGUUGUUUAAGUAACCCACCGGUUAAGCUCCUCUCAAGCUUAAACCAACA
rnacentral:lncRNA from 1 species